rnacentral:rRNA from 1 species
AGCUUGCCAGGCCCACAACUGACACUGAAGCACGAAAGUGUGGGUAUCAAAACACAAUUAGAUACCCUGGUAGUCCCACACAGUAAACGAUGAUUACUCGCUGUUUGCGAUAUACAGUAAGCGGCCAAGCGAAAGCGAUAAGUAAUCCACCUGGGGAGUACGCCGGCAACGGUGAAACUCAAAGGAAUUGACGGGGGCCCGCACAAGCGGAGGAACAUGUGGUUUAAUUCGAUGAUACGCGAGGAACCUUACCCGGGCUCGAACGGCAGAAUAAUAUAUUGGAAACAAUAUAGCCAGCAAUGGAUUUUGUCGAGGUGCUGCAUGGUUGUCGUCAGCUCGUGCCGUGAGGUGUCGGCUUAAGUGCCAUAACGAGCGCAACCCUUACCGGGAGUUACCAGCGAGUAGUGUCGGGGACUCUUCCGGGACUGCCACCGUAAGGUGUGAGGAAGGUGGGGAUGACGUCAAAUCAGCACGGCCCUUACGUCCGGGGCGACACACGUGUUACAAUGGGGGGGACAAAGGGCAGCUACCGUGCGAGCGGAUGCGAAUCUCGAAACCCUCUCCCAGUUCGGAUAGGAGUCUGCAACCCGACUCCUUGAAGCUGGAUUCGCUAGUAAUCGCGCAUCAGCCAUGGCGCGGUGAAUACGUUCCCGGGCCUUGUACACACCGCCCGUCAAGCCAUGGAAGCCGGGAGUACCUGAAGUGCGUAACCGCAAGGAGCGCUCUAGGGUAACACUGGUAACUGGGGCUAAGUCGUAACAAGGUAGCCGUAAAUCGA